CCGAUGGACAAGACAAAUGAUUUUGUUGAUUUUUCAUCCAGAAACCACUCGUCGCUGUCUUGUUCUAAGUUAUUUUUCCAUGUUAGAGUUACUGCCGCUUUUCAGCUUCCACAUGGAAACAAAUCCUCCGUUUGCAAUUUAUUCUGGAGGAAAGUUUGCACUGCAGUUUGACGGGUUCCCCGAAACGUCACACAUCUGUCAAAGCUCAGCCUAACUAUGAGACGCAGAGAGAGAAAUCGCUAACAGUGCCUGGCAGAAAUACUUCAUAUCCUGUGAUUUUGUCACAACCACAAACAUCGAGGUAUUAAAUUUGGAUUUCAUGUCAUAAACAUAAACCUGAAGAAUAAAUUAAACAUUCUUUUUGUUUUUUCACUAAUAAAAAUGUCUUCUUUUCCCCUGAGAUAAUA